AUUGAACGCUGGCGGCAGGCCUAACACAUGCAAGUCGAACGAGUGGCGGACGGGUGAGUAAUGUCUGGGAAACUGCCUGCGGGAGGGGGAUAACUACUGGAAACGGUAGCUAAUACCGCAUACCAUCGGAUGUGCCCAGAUGGGAUUAGCUAGUAGGUGGGGUAACGGCUCACCUAGGCGACGAUCCCUAGCUGGUCUGAGCGGAUGACCAGCCCCAUUGUAACUGAGACACUGUCCAGACUCCUACGUGAGGCAUCAGUGGGGAAUAGUGCACAAUGGUCGCAAGCCUGAUGCAGCCAUGCCGCGUGUAUGAAGAAGGCCUUCGGGUUGUAAAGUACUUUCAGCGGGGAGGCGUUACCCGCAGAAGAAGCACCGGCUAACUCCGUGCCAGCAGCGGCGGUAAUUC
rnacentral:rRNA from 1 species